GAAAUGCGAUAAGUAAUGUGAAUUGCAGAAUUCCGUGAAUCAUCGAAUCUUUGAACGCACAUUCCGCCCUCUGGCAUUCCGGGGGGCAUGCCUGUCCGAGCGUCAUUACGCACCCUCAAGCCCGGCUUGUGUGAUGGGCCCUGGCGUCUCGUUCGCGAGACGGGCCCGAAAGGCAGCGGCGGCGUCGACCCGAUGAGCCCGAGCGUAUGGGGACUUUUGUCACACGUUUGCGGUGCGGACCGGCGCCUGCUUGACUUUUCUGAUUAUCCAGGUUGACCUCGGAUCAGGUAGGGAUACCCGCUGAACUUAAGC
rnacentral:misc_RNA from 1 species